CGUGUAUAAGCAAUACUACUGAUCUGGUUAAAACGUGUCUUGCCUUUUGGUAACUACCCACAAAUCCACCCUUUGAUCCAUUGCUUACCUCAAUCUCUCCGUUUUAAGAAGGCAAUAUUGGUUUGUUCAAAGCCUGGUGGAAGUCUUGUGAUUAUUCUUCCUCUUUUUUCUCCGUCAUCAGACUUUGAGCAUUCUGAAGCAUUAGGAAAGGGGAAAGCUCUUGCGGAGUAGUUUACAUUGUUCCAGUUCUGCAUCUGAGAGUUUCAAGUUGGGUCUUCUUCUGUCGCCUGUGGCUGAUAGUCGCUAUCAGGACUGCUUUGAGUUUACAGGGUGAGCAUGAGACGUUCGUCACGUUGAAGACUCCUCUUAUUAUGUCUUACUUUUCUACUCAGAGACAUAGAUAGAUUUGAUGUAUUAUUACAUUCCAGACUUGUAUAUUUUCACUUAGAUGCUCUUGUAUG